GGUAAGGUAACGGCUUACCAAGGCGACGAUCAGUAGCCGACCUGAGAGGGUGAUCGGCCACAUUGGAACUGAGACACGGUCCAAACUCCUACGGGAGGCAGCAGUGGGGAAUAUUGCACAAUGGGCGAAAGCCUGAUGCAGCAACGCCGCGUGAGUGAUGAAGGCCUUCGGGUCGUAAAACUCUGUCCUCAAGGAAGAUAAUGACGGUACUUGAGGAGGAAGCCCCGGCUAACUACGUGCCAGCAGCCGCGGUAAUACGUAGGGGGCUAGCGUUAUCCGGAUUUACUGGGCGUAAAGGGUGCGUAGGCGGUCUUUCAAGUCAGGAGUGAAAGGCUACGGCUCAACCGUAGUAAGCUCUUGAAACUGGGAGACUUGAGUGCAGGAGAGGAGAGUGGAAUUCCUAGUGUAGCGGUGAAAUGCGUAGAUAUUAGGAGGAACACCAGUUGCGAAGGCGGCUCUCUGGACUGUAACUGACGCUGAGGCACGAAAGCGUGGGGAGCAAACAGGAUUAGAUACCCUGGUAGUCCACGCUGUAAACGAUGAGUACUAGGUGUCGGGGGUUACCCCCUUCGGUGCC
rnacentral:rRNA from 1 species